rnacentral:rRNA from 1 species
CGGCGACGGGUGAGUAACACGUGGGUAACCUACCUAUAAGACUGGGACAACUUCGGGAAACCGGAGCUAAUACCGGAUAAGAUAUCGAACCGCAUGGUUCGAUAGUGAAAGAUGUUUUGCUAUCACUUAUAGAUGGACCCGCGCCGUAUUAGCUAGUUGGUGAGGUAACGGCUCACCAAGGCAACGAUACGUAGCCGACCUGAGAGGGUGAUCGGCCACACUGGAACUGAGACACGGUCCAGACUCCUACGGGAGGCAGCAGGC